UACGUAGGGUGCGAGCGUUAAUCGGAAUUACUGGGCGUAAAGCGUGCGCAGGCGGCUUUGCAAGACAGAUGUGAAAUCCCCGGGCUCAACCUGGGAACUGCAUUUGUGACUGCAUUGCUGGAGUGCGGCAGAGGGGGAUGGAAUUCCGCGUGUAGCAGUGAAAUGCGUAGAUAUGCGGAGGAACACCGAUGGCGAAGGCAAUCCCCUGGGCCUGCACUGACGCUCAUGCACGAAAGCGUGGGGAGCAAACAGG
rnacentral:rRNA from 1 species